AUUGAACGCUGGCGGCAGGCCUAACACAUGCAAGUCGAGCGAGCGGCGGACGGGUGAGUAAUGUAUGGGGACUGCCCGAUAGAGGGGGAUAACUACUGGAAACGGUGGCUAAUACCGCAUACUAUCGGAUAACCCAUAUGGGAUUAGCUAGUAGGUGGGGUAAAGGCUCACCUAGGCGACGAUCUCUAGCUGGUCUGAGAGGAUGAUCAGCCACACUGGGACUGCAACACGGCCCAGAAGCCUACGGAGGCAGCCGUGGGGAAUAUAGCGCAAGGGGCGCAAGCCUGAAGCAGCCAUGCAGCGUGUAUGAAGCAGGCCUUAGGGUUGUAAAGUACUUUAAGCGGGGAGGCGUUACCCGCAGAAGAAGCACCGGCUAACUCCGUGCCAGCAGCCGCGGUAAUAC
rnacentral:rRNA from 1 species